rnacentral:rRNA from 1 species
GACGAACGCUGGCGGCGUGCUUAACACAUGCAAGUCGAACGGAAAGACCCGGCUUUUGGGUGGUCCUCUAGUUGCGAACGGGUGAGUAACACGUGAGUAACCUGCCCUUGACUGUGGGAUAACUUCAGGAAACUUGGGCUAAUACCGGAUAGGAGCUCCUGCUGCAGGGUGGGGGUUGGAUAGUUUCGGCGGUUGGUGAUGGACUCGCGGCUUAUCAGCUUGUUGGUGGGGUAGUGGCUUACCAAGGCUUUGACGGGUAGCCGGCCUGAGAGGGUGACCGGCCAAAUUGGGACUGAGAUAAGGCCCAGACUACUACGGGAGGCAGCAGUGGGGAAUAUUGCACAAUGGGCGGAAGCCUGAUGCAGCCACGCCGCGUGCGGGAUGACGGCAUUCGGGUAGUAAUCUGAUUCUGCCUGUGACGAAGCGUGAGUGACGGUAACGGGUAAAGAAGCACCGGCUAACUACGUG